UGCUUCUAUCAAUCUUAGUGGCGAACGGGUGAGUAACGCGUAAUCAACCUGCCCUUCAGAGGGGGACAACAGUUGGAAACGACUGCUAAUACCGCAUACGAUCUAAUCUCGGCAUCGAGGAUAGAUGAAAGGUGGCCUCUACAUGUAAGCUAUCACUGAAGGAGGGGAUUGCGUCUGAUUAGCUAGUUGGAGGGGUAACGGCCCACCAAGGCGAUGAUCAGUAGCCGGUCUGAGAGGAUGAACGGCCACAUUGGGACUGAGACACGGCCCAGACUCCUACGGGAGGCAGCAGUGGGGAAUCUUCCGCAAUGGACGAAAGUCUGACGGAGCAACGCCGCGUGAGUGAUGACGGCCUUCGGGUUGUAAAGCUCUGUUAAUCGGGACGAAAGGCCUUCUUGCGAAUAGUUAGAAGGAUUGACGGUACCGGAAUAGAAAGCCACGGCUAACUACGUGCCAGCAGCCGCGGUAAUACGUAGGUGGCAAGCGUUGUCCGGAAUUAUUGGGCGUAAAGCGCGCGCAGGCGGAUCAGUCAGUCUGUCUUAAAAGUUCGGGGCUUAACCCCGUGAUGGGAUGGAAACUGCUGAUCUAGAGUAUCGGAGAGGAAAGUGGAAUUCCUAGUGUAGCGGUGAAAUGCGUAGAUAUUAGGAAGAACACCAGUGGCGAAGGCGACUUUCUGGACGAAAACUGACGCUGAGGCGC
rnacentral:rRNA from 1 species